rnacentral:rRNA from 1 species
UGAGGAAUUUUCGGCAAUGGGGGCAACCCUGACCGAGCAACGCCGCGUGCAGGACGAAGGUCUUCGGAUCGUAAACUGCUUUUACCAGGGAAGAGAACGGACGGUACCUGGAGAAUAAGUCCCGGCUAACUACGUGCCAGCAGCCGCGGUAAUACGUAGGGGGCGAGCGUUAUCCGGAUUUAUUGGGCGUAAAGGGCACGCAGGCGGUCCCGCAAGUGUGGGGUAAAAGCUCCUGGCUUAACUAGGAGAGGACUCAACAAACUGCAGGACUUGAGAGCGAGAGAGGGACACGGAAUUCCGGGUGGAGCAGUGAAAUGCGUAGAUAUCCGGAGGAACACCAAAGGCGAAGGCAGUGUCCUGGCUCGUUUCUGACGCUCAGGUGCGAAAGCCAGGGGAGCGAACG